GGAUAACUUACCCUUUAGGACUGGGAUAACUCUGGGAAACUGGGGAUAAUACUGGAUAUUAGGCUAUGCCUGGAAUGGUUUGCCUUUGAAAUGUUUUUUUCGCCUAAGGAUAGGUCUGCGGCUGAUUAGGUCGUUGGUGGGGUAAUGGCCCACCAAGCCGAUGAUCGGUACGGGUUGUGAGAGCAAGGGCCCGGAGAUGGAACCUGAGACAAGGUUCCAGACCCUACGGGGUGCAGCAGGCGCGAAACCUCCGCAAUGUACGAAAGUGCGACGGGGGGAUCCCAAGUGUUAUGCUUUUUUGUAUGACUUUUCAUUAGUGUAAAAAGUUUUUAGAAUAAGAGCUGGGCAAGACCGGUGCCAGCCGCCGCGGUAACACCGGCAGCUCGAGUGGUAGCUGUUUUUAUUGGGCCUAAAGCGUUCGUAGCCGGUUUGAUAAGUCUUUGGUGAAAGCUUGUAGCUUAACUAUAAGAAUUGCUGGAGAUACUAUUAGACUUGAAGUCGGGAGAGGUUAGAGGUACUACCGGGGUAGGGGUGAAAUCCUAUAAUCCUGGGAGGACCACCUGUGGCGAAGGCGUCUAACUGGAACGAUCUUGACGGUGAGUAACGAAAGCCAGGGGCGCGAACCGGAUUAGAUACCCGGGUAGUCCUGGCCGUAAACGAUGUGGACUUGGUGUUGGAAUGGCUUUGAGUUGUUCCGGUGCCGAAGGGAAGCUGUUAAGUCCACCGCCUGGGAAGUACGGUCGCAAGACUGAAACUUAA
rnacentral:rRNA from 1 species